rnacentral:misc_RNA from 1 species
UGACUCUCCCUGAUGAGAUUCUCACGAGUUCAAUUUUGCGCCGUGGCACAGCUGCGCGAGUGCACGCGUUGCUUUUACUCCUUACCCGCGCCGCGCGUCCGCGCUUGUGGGCGCACCAGUGUCAUUCGAUUUCUUUGUUCUUUUCUUCCUUUCUCUCUUUCCUCCUUGUUCGCAUUGCUUCUGCGAAAGUGCCCAGCGCGCGUCCAUUCGACCUCAACGACUGUUUGGAGUCUGCUCCGCGGCUCCGUUUCCGCCUGCGAGGAGGCUUGCAUAUGUGUGCGUGCGUCUUUGUAUCUCCACGAUGUGGUUCAGCGUCUGCUAGGAAACUGCGGCGGUCGGUGCUGUUCACUAGCAAGAGAAUGCGCAUGCGUCUUGUCGGGAAUCUGGGCAAGGGAGCUCCGUCUUCGAUCCCCGUCCCUCCCUACUGCUCUGUUCUGCUUUCCACUUCCCAUUCUUCUCGACCUUCACUUGCGCAUUUUCGGAGGAACGUUCCCUAGUGGACAUCUCUGCGCCUUUUUUUUCGUUGUAGGCUCUUGUCCGCACGCCGCUCCUGCCUUAGGUCUCUCGCCGUCUUCCGCAUUUUCAGGCUGCUUCGUGUCUUCUUCUUUUCCACUGCGUAUAUGUACGCCAGAGCUCUCCCCACGCCCAUCCCUUCCCUUUCUCCCCGUACACUCUGCUGUGUUGUCGUUAAUGUUGCCGCGCUCAAAAUGUGCUCGGCGUUUUAUGUUCUGUCGUUACCGCUGCUUCUUUGUUGCCAAACUCUGUUCGGCUUUUCUGACAUCCCCUCAUCGGUGUUCGUUUCUGCUGCGGCACAGGUGAGAGGCCCCGGCGGCUAUUCAUCUGCUCUUAUCCAACCGCUCUGUCACAAGGGUGUGCUCAUCCGGGACUCGAGCACAACCCCUCAGCUCUGACCAAUCAGCACCACUUGGCCGUUCAGACGUGUGCACAGGCGGGGCAGUCACUCGCUGUACCGAUAUUAUGGUAUAGGUGCUGCAAAGAGCGGUGAUUGAUGAUGAGCCUCGCUUCUUCUUGUACUCCCUCUUCUCUCCCGCAGCUGGUGAGAUCAUCUCCGACCCCCCCCCUCCCUCCCUCCCUUCCCCAUGCACUGCACUGCACUGAAACGAGGAACGAGUGAAAAAAAAACAUGAAAACGUUGGCUUCGUUGGAAGUCGUCUGGUGUGCCGACUCGUUAGUGCCCGAUUUCGAGGUGACCCAUAUGUCUACUUCCCUGUAUUUUUUCCAGAUUCCCCCCACCUACAUGCCAGUCACGAAGCUUCACGCAUCCAUGCCCAUGUCUAUAUAUAGAUGCGUGCGAGGCUUCGUGAAUCUCUUCCCACCCUCCUAUGUUGGGGAGGAUGCCAACUGGUUUUACUACCUCGUCUGUG